rnacentral:rRNA from 1 species
AAGAAAAUAGUAACAACAGGGAUGCCCCAGUAACGGCGAGUGAAGCGGCAACAGCUCAAAUUUGAAAUCUGGCCCCUCGGGGUCCGAGUUGUAAUUUGUAGAGGAUGCUUUUGGUGAGGUGCCGCCCGAGUUCCCUGGAACGGGACGCCACAGAGGGUGAGAGCCCCGUCUGGCUGGCCACCGAGCCUCUGUAAAGCUCCUUCGACGAGUCGAGUAGUUUGGGAAUGCUGCUCAAAAUGGGAGGUAUAUGUCUUCUAAAGCUAAAUAUUGGCCAGAGACCGAUAGCGCACAAGUAGAGUGAUCGAAAGAUGAAAA